AACGAACGCUGGCGGCAUGCCUAACACAUGCAAGUCGAACGAGAUCUUCGGGUCUAGUGGCGCACGCGUGCGUAACGCGUGGGAAUCUGCCCUAUGGUUCGGAAUAACAGUUGGAAACGACUGCUAAUACCGGAUGAUGACGAAAGUCCAAAGAUUUAUCGCCAGAGGAGGAGCCCGCGUAGGAUUAUCUAGUUGGUGUGGUAAAGGCGCACCAAGGCGACGAUCCUUAGCUGGUCUGAGAGGAUGAUCAGCCACACUGGGACUGAGACACGGCCCAGACUCCUACGAGAGGCUGCUGUGGGGGAUAUUGGACAAUGAGCUAAAGCCUGAUCCAGCAAUGCCGCGUGAGUGAUAAAGGCCUUAGGGCUGUAAAGCUCUUUUCCCCGGGAUGAUAAUGACAGUCCCGGGAGAAUUAGCUCCGGCUAACUCCGUGCCAGCCGCCGCCGUAA
rnacentral:rRNA from 1 species